rnacentral:rRNA from 1 species
GACGAACGCUGGCGGCGUGCUUAACACAUGCAAGUCGAACGGAGUGGCGAACGGGUGAGUAACACGUGGGUGAUCUGCCUUGCACUUCGGGAUAAGCUUGGGAAACUGGGUCUAAUACCGGAUAGCGCAAGAUGAGCUGGGGGCCUAUCAGCUUGUUGGUGGGGUAAUGGCCUACCAAGGCGUCGACGGGUAGCCGGCCUGAGAGGGUGUACGGCCACAUUGGGACUGAGAUACGGCCCAGACGCAUACGUGGGGCAGCAGUGGGGAAUAUUGCAAAAUGGGCGGAAGCAUGAUGCAGGGACGCCGGGUGGGGAAGGAAGGCCUUCGGGUUGUAAACUCCUUGCGACAGGGACGCGGUACCUGUAUAAGAAGCACCGGCUAACUACGUGCCAGCAGCCGCGGUAAUAC